rnacentral:rRNA from 1 species
AGCGAACGCUGGCGACAGGCCUAACACAUGCAAGUCGAACGAAGUCUUCGGACUUAGUGGCGGACGGGUGAGUAACACGUGGGAACGUGCCUUUAGGUUCGGAAUAACUCAGGGAAACUUGUGCUAAUACCGAAUGUGCCCUUCGGGGGAAAGAUUUAUCGCCUUUAGAGCGGCCCGCGUCUGAUUAGCUAGUUGGUGAGGUAAAGGCUCACCAAGGCUACGAUCAGUAGCUGGUCUGAGAGGAUGACCAGCCACAUUGGGACUGAGACACGGCCCAAACUCCUACGGGAGGCAGCAGUGGGGAAUCUUGCGCAAUGGGCGAAAGCCUGACGCAGCCAUGCCGCGUGGAUGAUGAAGGUCUUAGGAUUGUAAAAUCCUUUCACCGGUGAAGAUAAUGACUGUAGCCGGAGAAGAAGCCCCGGCUAACUUCGUGCCAGCCGCCACCGUAAGAC